rnacentral:rRNA from 1 species
GGUGAACGCUGGCGGUGUGCCUAAUACAUGCAAGUCGAGCGAAAGGACGAGAAGCUUUCUCCUCUGCCGGUAGCGACGGGCGGGUGAGUAACACGUGCAUCGACAUCCUCUUUGACUGGGGUAAUUUCGUGAAACAGCAUCCACUAACAGAUAAUAUGUCGAACCGCUUAGAUCAGUGGAGAUAGACGUCUUUCCCGUCUGUUAUAGCCGGAUCCGCGCCGCAUUAGCUAGUUGGUAAGGUCACGGCUUACCAAGGCAACGAUGCGUAGCCGGACUGAGAGGGUGAUCGGCCACACUGGAACUGAGACACGGUCCAGACUCCUACGGGAGGCAGCAGUAGGGAAUCUUCCGCAAUGGGCGAAAGCCUGACCGAGCCAUGCCGCGUGGGUGAUGAAGGUCUUCGGGUUGUAAAGCUCUGUUGUUGGGGAAGAACAGAAGUAGAUGUAUCUAUGGACGUUCUGACGGUACCCAAUCAGAAAGCCACGGCUAACUUCGUG